CCAGUUGAUGUGCACGUUGCAAGAGGAAGCCCGAACGACAAAGGGAGAUAAGGGAGUGACAGCCGCGGGCCCAAUACAUCUGCAUCACAAUCUAUCAAAAUGCCCCACAUUUACAAGAAAUGACCAAGUCUGUGGUGGUUUGUGGUUCUUUUGCUUCUCCAUUUUCAUCAGAAUGGAUAAAGGCAGCUUGUGUCAUUGUUUUUCAGGUUAUAACAUAUACGAGGGCAGCAAGUGAGGACGACAGAAGAGAAGUCACGGACAACACUGAAUGGCGAGUCUGCUUUUGCCACACCCAACAGGUGCUAGGCAAGCAUUCUUCAGGCCGAGCAGCAGGACCAAAAGCGCUGACGGUUGCACCAACACAAAACGGAGCCUCGGCAAGUCGCUCUGACAAUUACUUCACAUCAUUCUGAUUAUGAGCCACCAGCAUGCAAUCGGCGGCACAGAGGAUCGUAAAUGAUCAGUAUUUGACUUCAGCUAUCAAAGCAUGGCAGAGGGCGCAUACUUUCAUCUGACCCCAAUGCAACGUUAAUGACCCAAACACUAAGAACGUGCAGGAACAACCAUAGCACAAGGGCAGGGCCCUUGCUGGGGGCUGUGGGUUAUCACAGAUGCACUUCAUUUCGUUCAACUUUUCCAUCUACUACCUCAGAGUAGAGAAAUAUGUGUUUCUCAUCUGAUACAUUUAUCCACAGUCUAAUUCAACUGAAAGACUUAAGUAAGCAUACAAAUUCCCCAGACUUAGUAUCGCAUGUUGUACAGACCUCUA